CGCAUAUGUUGGCUCCUCAACAUCUGAAUGAGAGGAGCUGGGGAGGAGGCAGCGAGGAAAGGAAGGAAGGAAGGAAGGAAGGAAGGAAGGAAGGGUGAAAUCACUGCAGAUUCCGUCCUGGGCGGUGGGAGCCGCUGAAAGCCGCCACAGGCAUUCAGGCAGAAUUUUUUUGUCUGAUCAGAGAGAGUUCUCAAAAUAUCCACCAGGAAAGAGCCAUGGAACUGAACUCAAAGGAGCAGCCCAGCUCUCCUCAGAAGGAGGGAGUGAAAGCUUGGUCCAAAUCCACAGAGGAGAUGCAGCCUGCCAAGAAGGCCUUCUACACUCCACAGAAGUCAUUACCCAAUCAGAUGGAUGAAAAUGAGUCCAUGGGCUCCUGUUCUGUCCCACCACCCGAUGCCUCUCAGCAGAAGCAGACCUGAGGAGCAGGAACUACUUGGUGCCUGUAAAAAAAAUACGGAGUCGUGCUGCUCUUAGGCUUUGCAUUAUUGCUCCAACUUCAUGUGGAUGUCAUUGUGGGUCUAUCCAGCUGUCAAUGUUUAAUUGUUCUAUCAGUGGACUGAGAGUUAGUACCCUGUCCAUCUUAAUGGAUUCUUGAACCUAAGAAGCAAAAUUAAUCUAUUGCCAUGACUUCUUUGUUUAAUCUGCUAACCAAGUGGCAUUGGCAGAAUAUCCCAAGUUAUUUCUGGUUUGCCCUCCAGUGUUGAUUCCAGCUGUCAUCUUUGUCGAUUCUGGUCUUCUUUCAAGAUAUGCAUUUUACAAGUUAAAUAGAUAUUACCAACCCAACCACCAGGGGGCAUUAGCACAUCAUAUUUAAUUGGCCCCCAAAUGGCCCUGAAACGACCACCACAUCGUCUGUUUUUGAUUUCGACCAUGAAGGAGACAAAAUGGCAUCUUAAGGAAAGUCCAGAACAAACUCUGCCAAAUCACCAAAUGAUUGGACACUUCAUGUUAUCUUGGGAGUCACAGGCCUAAUUUGGAGACUAUAAACCACACCAGACUGCACUGUCCAUCAUUGGUAAAGGCCAGGAAACCAUCAUGUUGCCGUUGCCAUUUCCUGUGUCACCCCUUGUGCUGCCAAAGCUACAAAUGCCAACAUAUAUUCGCCAAGCAAUCUCUUCUUCAGGGAAGAAAUGUAAAUCAAGUUGUCUUUAGAUCAGAUUUGUUCUAUGUUUGUUGACACACAGCUAUUAGCACUUUAAUUGUGUCCUUGUAGAUUUAAGCAGUUCAGUGAGCAUUUUAUCUAACCCUGGUGCUUUUCUCUUUAACAGUUUUUCUGCUGUCUUUCAUACUGCCCUUUCUAGAAGAGAAUAUAUUCUCCUUCUUCAUUUUUAAAAGUUCUAUCUUUCUGUUUUUAAAGGGCUUCAGUGCAGACUUUCCAUUCUCUUUGGCUAAAUUUUAUUAACCUUUCUGUUUGCUUUAUUAACCUUUCUGUUUUCUUAAUACAAAUAUUCCUGUAAUUAAAGUUCCUCCUUUUCUUCCUCAUUCCAAUCACCUAUUAAUAGAUGUAUUUUUUAGAUGUUGCAUUUAAAUGUUGCAUUUAGAAUCUCUUUCAGUUUGCCAGAGGAUUUCUCAACUUCUUCCAUAAAUAGACACUUAGAGUUAUUUAACAUGAAUGUUCAUUAAUUCUAAUAAAUAUCCCGUUGUUUAUCAGAUUAUAGCUGAACAUAUAUUGUGGAAUCUUUUGAUUUCAAAGUGUCCAUUUAUGGUGCAUCAAUUUGCUUUUACAGUAUUUAAAACAUUCAAUUUAGCGCACUAAUCUUCUCCUUAAGAACUUCCAAGUGUUUCUGGAUUCAUGCUUAACAAAUUCCAUGCCCCAGUUACAUGUGUACCUGGGAAAUGAGAAAUUCCUCUUUAAAUAUUGGAACCAUCAGGGACCCAGCUGCCUUGUGGCUUUGAUCUGGUCACUUCCCCUCAAGUUUUACAGAUGAAAGUUCACUCACUGUUCUUCUCCAGUAAUUAGAAGAAUGCCUUACAAUAUGGGCAGUCUGAAGAGUAUCCAAACAUACCCAAACCUUUUAGUCAUAUCUAUACAGUUUUCUUGGCAAGAGUGCAGGAAUGAGUUACCAUUGCUUUCUUCUUCUCUUGGGUAGAAUUCCUUCUCUAUCCUGACCACUUUGUGGAUUACCCUUAGUUUCACUCAUCCCUUGGCAGUUUUUGCUUGUUAAAACUGAUAGAAAAUCCUGAACAUUGAGAUUCUU